ensembl:lncRNA
GCUUUAAUAGGUUCGGGGCCAGGGGCAGCCGUGCGCCGUCCUGUCCCGACGCGUGUCCGUGUUUAACAGCCAUUGGUCGUUCUGGGCUUAAAGCUCAUAGUUGUAUCUGGACACGCAAAGAGAGAAGUGGAAAUGCAAGAGCCAGGCCCCUCGGCGUUGUCUUGCUUCCGCAGGCCUUAAGUCGCGCCGCAGUUCGGUAGAUGUCACCUCUGUCUGUCUCGCCCUCCGUUAUCCAGGCGGGCGGCGGAGGGGCCUGGGGUCGGCCUCUGCCGUCGCUUCCCUGAUGGCCGGAGAAAAUACUAGCAAAAGCUAGCAAGUGGAUGGGACAGUAUCCAGAAGAAAGAAACCAUGGAUGAACGGUGGAGCGGAGCUACCGUGGUAUCGCGGGACAGCCCUAUCUCUGGACUGUUAAAUGGGUACUAUAGGGUUCUCACUAUUUGGUUAAACCCCGCCCUGAACUCCACUGCUGAAG